rnacentral:misc_RNA from 1 species
GUGAAUUAAACACUGCUUGGUGUCUUCGCUUCGGCAAGGCCCUUGCUUAAAUCACAUCCUAACACCUGUGAACUGUAAGACGUAUGAUGAGGUCUUUGGCCAAGUCAUCGUCUGCCCAUUUUUAACAAACAAUUAAUGUAACAAACGUAGUCUUAUUAUAACCUAAUA